rnacentral:rRNA from 1 species
GACGAACGCUGGCGGCGUGCUUAACACAUGCAAGUCGAGCGGAAAGGCCACUUCGGUGGUACUCGAGCGGCGAACGGGUGAGUAACACGUGAGUAAUCUGCCCCUGGCUUUGGGAUAGCCACCGGAAACGGUGAUUAAUACCGGAUACGACCACUUCUCGCAUGGGAUGGUGGUGGGAAGUUUUUUCGGCCAGGGAUGUGCUCGCGGCCUAUCAGCUUGAUGGUGAGGUAAUGGCUCACCAUGGCUUCGACGGGUAGCCGGCCUGAGAGGGUGACCGGUCACACUGGGACUGAGACACGGCCCAGACUCCUACGGGAGGCAGCAGUGGGGAAUAUUGGACAAUGGGCGGAAGCCUGAUCCAGCAAGGCCGCGUGAGGGAUGACGGCCUUCGGGUUGUAAACCUCUUUCAGCAGGGACGAAGCGCAAGUGACGGUACCUGCAGAAGAAGCACCGGCCAACUACGUGCCAGCAGCCGCCGUAA